GUCGGGAUUUUUUGAUUUGGGGCCAAAUCCCCGACUAGAAUCGGAGCAUUGGACUGAAACACCAAACCUCGACCUGGUGAGAGAUGAACUGAAUUCAGAAUGGCGACGGAGCAUGGCAGCCGCAGUCGCAGCUGCAGCGGGUUUAGAAGAAGACGAAUUGAUGGAGAAGCAUAAGCAGCAAAUACGAGGCAGUGAGAAGGCGAGAAAGAAGAAAAUGCCGAGCCCUCAGGAGCUGGUGACGCACUACGAGAAGCAGGGGAUGGCGACUCAGGAGGCUUCGCUUAAAGUGAUUGGGGAUUUGCAGGGAGCUCUCUUCAGAAUGAUUUCCGCCAAUAACAAACGCGACGAUUCCAAUUCUUCUCCGCAAGUGAUUUCCGCCAAGCUGGACGCCGUCCACGCUCGCCUGGUCCAGCUCGAAACGAAGCUCGAUUCCAAGCCCAGUUACCCGCAGGCCCUGGCUCUGGGCGUUGCCUCCGCCUCCCUUUGGAAUCGCGCCCUUGAGCUCUGGAACACCGUUUGUCGCGCCACCUCUUCCGACCCCUCGUCCUAGUUUAUUUCCUUUCUUAGAAAAAGAAUACGAUGAUCCGCUUGUGCUAUCGAUAGAAACCAUUUUGUUUCCUUGUUAUCAAUCCAAUUUUGAUAUUAUGAUAGAACAAUUGGGGUUUGAAACGAUUCCGGUUUACAUCAUUGAUCAGUUUUGUCGCUGAUGUUAGACGGAUGAAUGUAGCUUUGCUCUCUCUUCAUUUAUUACCGGACGACUGAGUUUCAAGUAGUAUUUCUUUUUUUCUUAUGCUUUGUAUAAGACCCUGGAACCAUGCCACAUUGAUUCCACUUCAGCUCUUUAAAUCGAGAAAACCAAAUGCAUCAUGGUAAGCACGUGAUCGACCAUUAAAUAAUUUGUCUUUUAGAUCAUUGAAAUCUUUUUCCCUUCUUUUGGUUAGGUUGGUGAUCGAAAGCAGCUUUCUGCCACAGUUUUAUCUAAUGUUGAUAGCAAAUAUAUGUUCCAGUGCAGCAUGAUUGAGAGACUGCAUGGGCAGGUCAUCCUGUAAUCAUACUGACCAACAGGAAUGGAUUCCACGCUGUCCAAGCUCAGAGUUUUUAGCAUUGAUUUUAGUCUCUUUUGCUGACGAAGAUUUGUCAGUUUCCUCCUUUGCAUUUCUAUGAGGGGGAAUUGCAGAAUGGAGAUAAGAUGAUUGGCAGAGCUGCAUCAUUCCAUGAGACUCGGUGGCUUGGGGCCAUAUGUAUUUUUGACAUCAUUGAUGGUCUGGAGCUCCGUGGAGCUGGUGUGUGAGGGGAUUCUUCAAGCCUUGCGAGAUGAAACCAUGAACGACCCUCGAGAACGCAUUGAGAUCGGCCAGCGCCACGCCAUCUACAGACCUUCUCUACUCAUGAACUAACAUAUGUGUUUAGAAAGAGGUAGUUUCCAGUUCUAUUAUGCGAAUCUUGGUUUGUCAAUGGAUUUUAGCAUUGUUAGGAAGUGUUAUUAAGUUCUCUUCAACGUUUACUUGUGUAAAUGUAACAGAGCUCAUCAAUCUAAGUGUGACUUUUGCUUUUGAAA